GACGAAGGGGGCUAGCGUUGUUCGGAAUUACUGGGCGUAAAGCGAGUGUAGGUGGUUGUCCAAGUUGGAUGUGAAAGCCUUGAGCUCAACUCAAGAAAUGCAUUCAGGACUGGGCGACUAGAGGACCGGAGAGGAUAGUGGAAUUCCCAGUGUAGUGGUGAAAUGCGCAGAUAUCAGGAGGAACACCGAUGGCGAAGGCAGGUCUCUGGGCCACUACUGACGCUGAGAAGCGAAAGCAUGGGGAGCGAACAGG
rnacentral:rRNA from 1 species